GAUCCUGGCUCAGGAUGAACGCUAGCUACAGGCUUAACACAUGCAAGUCGAGGGGAAACGACAUCGAAAGCUUGCUUUUGAUGGGCGUCGACCGGCGCACGGGUGAGUAACGCGUAUCCAACCUGCCCACACUUGGGGAUAACCUUGCGAAAGUAAGACUAAUACCCAAUGACGUCUCUAGAAGACAUCUGAAAGAGAUUAAAGAUUUAUCGGUGAUGGAUGGGGAUGCGUCUGAUUAGCUUGUUGGCGGGGUAACGGCCCACCAAGGCGACGAUCAGUAGGGGGUUCUGAGAGGAAGGUCCCCCACAUUGGAACUGAGACACGGUCCAAACUCCUACGGGAGGCAGCAGUGAGGAAUAUUGGUCAAUGGGCGAGAGCCUGAACCAGCCAAGUAGCGUGCAGGACGACGGCCCUAUGGGUUGUAAACUGCUUUUAUAAGGGAAUAAAGUGAGCCUCGUGAGGCUUUUUGCAUGUACCUUAUGAAUAAGGACCGGCUAAUUCCGUG
rnacentral:rRNA from 1 species